GAUGAACGCUGGCGGCGUGCCUAAAACAUGCAAGUCGAGCGGCAGCGAGUUCCUCGCUAAUGUUCGGAUUUGUUUACCAAUGAUGCAAGUAAUUUAGUCAGAGUAACAAAGUAACGACUAGUUGUUUAAGUUAAAAGGUAGAUUUAAUAUUCCGGAUAUGAGCGAGGAAUGUCGGCGAGCGGCGGACGGCUGAGUAGCGCGUAGGAACAUACCCCAAAGUGAGGCAUAACCGCCCGAAAGGGUGGCUAAUACCGCAUAUUGUCUUCGGAUGAAAGCUUUUAGCGCUUUGGGAAUGGCCUGCGUUUGAUUAGCUAGUUGGUGAGGUAAGGGCUUACCAAGGCGAUGAUCAAUAGCUGGUUUGAGAGAAUGAUCAGCCAGACUGGAACUGAGACACGGUCCAGACUCCUACGGGAGGCAGCAGUUGGGAAUUUUCCACAAUGGGCGAAAGCCUGAUGGAGCAACGCCGCGUGCAGGAGAAUGCUUCGGUGUAA
rnacentral:rRNA from 1 species